UUGGAAAGACGAGCAUAACUUUUGCACCGUCUUUAUAAAUGGAGCACCGCUGGCAUAAUAAGUAUAUUUUUAUUUCCUUUUUUAAGCAAAAAUUACCAGCGUCAUAGCUUGUGUGGUCUCUACGACUGAUUAUUUUAAAGUUCGGUCCAUGAUUCAGUCCAUUUUCAACAUUACAAUAUCUUGAGGGAGAAAGGUUACCACAAUACUCCGUCGUUCGUCGUUUAAAGGACCGAGCACACCGGAAGUAAAGAUUCCGUCGGUCACAGUUUCCGCGAUCACAGGCGACAAAAUGGUGUUAAGCAACUUCUACAGACAAGGAUCGCUUAAUAUACCAAAGCACCGGUGCUUAUUAGUAGGACAAGAUAUACACUUGCAAGUUGUGUGCACUUCGUUCGGUGGAAUACUCUUGUUAUUCGCGCACUUCUUUGUACGGUGUUUUUUUAAUAGAACGAGAAAUGCGCUUGUUGUUUGGGUACUUCGUGCGGUGCUUUUCGAUCGAGGAAGACUCUUGUUGUUCGUGCAACGCUUUUUUGUCGAACGAGAAAUACACUUGUUGUUUGUGCACUUCGUGCGAUGCUUUUUAGUAGAACGAGGAAUACUUGCAUGUUGUGUGUGCAUUUUGCGCGUGAUCCGCUCGGAUCUUACGACAGAACUGUACGAAUCGUACGGAUCGACAAACCAGUUUUACAGGUGGUAAACCGUGGUAUUGGAUAUGGAUGGCAUAUUACGAAAGUAUUGGCAUAUUACGCCACUUCAAGUUUUACUGGCUCAAUCUGUAAGAGCCUAUUUGGUACCCAUGUCUGGCUUGUCUAGCGUAGGCUGGGAAGUAGCUAUGUGAAGGAAUAAACAAUGAGCUUGUAAAAUAACCAGUUCGAAAAACAUGUUCAAGGUCAUGCAACGCAACAGAGACAUCAUAAUCUAUAGUUCGAUCGCGAAACCAAGUUUCUGUGAUAUCCUUCUCUUGAAGACGCUUGGAAAGCGAUCGAGAGCAAGGAAGAAACUUCCCAGCUUGACACCUGAUAAGAUACUGAAAGCCAAAAAGAGCUGCGGUACACACAAAACCAGAAAAGGCGACCAACCGAACAAAAAUUGCCCUCCUGGAUAGCGUGGUUGGAAACUCACCACCAGGUGAAUGUGCAAGGCACGGGGCAAAAUUCUUGAAAGAGGACGGUUACUGUCGUUUGUUAAAAGAAGAAUAUGGUCGCGUCCUAUAUGAACGAGACCUUGCGAAAAGAAAUCUAACAGUUGCAAAUUACCGGCUUACUGGAGAGCUCCAGAAAGAGGGACAUGAAAAGGAAUUUGCUGUGGCAGCCACAGACCAGAGAAACACACGACGAAUUGCACACGAAGAACCGAGCCAGUUUAGCCCCCGACUGAGCUCGAAAUACUCAAAAUCAUACUCGGAUCAUCAUACUAGAAGGGAAGAAGACAGCUAUAGCCAAGACAGUAACUCUGAAGACAAAGACAAGCAUGGAGACGAAGCAGCUAAUAAUUACGCGAGCAAUUCAUAUGACGAUGAUGACGAUUGUGGUGGUGACGAUAACAAUGAUGAUGAUGAUGGCACUAGAAGCAAGGAGCAAAACAAUGAGAACAAAGAUGAGAGCGGAGCUAAUGACGAUGGAAAUGAUGAGAACUGUGAUGAAACUAAUCAUGAAGGCAGCAAUAGUGUCGAUGGUGAAGAAGAAUUUUCCAGCCACAAUGGCGAGUGUGCUAAGAGUUGCCCGAGUGCAGACGAAACAUCAGUUGGUUCAGAUGAUACCGUUGAGUCUCUGACUGAAGAAUUAAACGUCAGCUGUCGAUUGAACUCACAAUAUAGCCUUGAUGAAGACAGGGGAAAAUCUAGUGCGGAGAACAAUGAUGGUAGCCUAGCCAGUAGCAACAGUACCAACAGCAGUAAUGACACAUCUUGUGAAAAUUCCCACACCAGAAAUGACAAGAAAAAAGCUAAAGACCUGCGAAAAACCAACAGCUUUGAAGUAGGAAGUAAAGCUGAGCGUUCAGUGGAACGAGAUGGUGAAGUUGCAAGUCAAGGAGCAAGACCAAAGAUUGUGCCGCAGAAUCCAGAGCUGUUCGUUGCACUUGAAACACAUUACCAGAACGGAAAGAUACCAUCCCUAGAGACAACUGGUAUUAAUCAAAAUUUUCUCGCACGGCACUCGACACAUCCAAGUCUUCUGCAGAGCUCUUUUACAGAAAGUUAUGACUUGUGCACUAGCAACAAGUAUUCAAACGAUUGGACCCAAACUUCUAUAACCAGCAACAGCAGCUCCUCCACACUUUGGAACCUCCCCCGUUCAUCGGCCUCAGAAAGAAGUAGGUCAAUGCUAAAGAAUGCAUAUUCCAGUGGGUUGGUUCCAUGGUAUGGAGAUCCAAUGCCAGUAAAUUUCCAACCUGUGACAUCAAUUACGGCGCAGUUCCCCAACGCCAGUAACUUAAGCCACGACAUUGACCGGUGUAACUGAAAUGAAAGUCUGUUCAGUAACAUACAUCAAACUAGCUUUUCAAGUUUUGGUGACUUUACUGCAGAAAAUGGGACUCAGACAGCAUCACCUUCACUUGGAGUUAGCCUAUUGGCACCCGCUGUGAGAUAUCCAGCCGUUACCACACCAAGUUCCACGAUAAGUUUUUCGACCACCACUUCGCAAUUCUCUUCAAGUACGAUGUCAGGAGGUGUAGCCCCAAUUACUUCCACUUAUGAUAUGUUAGGUAGUUAUGGACGAGAACGAGUAGGUGACUUCAACAGGUGGAGGCUCUCCUAUAGAAAUAACCAAGCAAAUAGUGGUUUGACCUCACCAAAAAUAGUUCAUCCAAAGAGACGAGAAGAUAGCUUGAGGAACCAUGACCUAUUCAAUAAUCAACAGGAAGGUUCACUUGCUUCAGUAUCGCUUAGGGACCCUUCACUGGUUUCUCUAGAACAACAAGUGGCUGAAAUCGAUAGCCUUCUUAAAGAACGAGAAGAACGAACCAAAAGACAGAGAGAGGCGGCACAAAGACAAAGGGAGAUAAGGGAAAAGAGGCAAAGAGAGGCAAGACAAAGGAAAG